rnacentral:snRNA from 1 species
GUAUUCGCUUCGGCAGCACAUAUACUAAAAUUGGAAUGAUACAGAGAAAAUUAGCAUGGCCCCUGCAGAAGGAUGACACGCAAAUUCAUGAAGCAGUCCGUAUUAAA